rnacentral:rRNA from 1 species
UGGGGAAUAUUGGACAAUGGGCGCAAGCCUGAUCCAGCAAUGCCGCGUGUGUGAAGAAGGCCUUCGGGUUGUAAAGCACUUUUAUCAGGAGCGAAACGCUGUCGGCUAAUACCCGGCGGAACUGACGGUACCUGAGGAAUAAGCACCGGCUAACUUCGUGCCAGCAGCCGCGGUAAUACGAAGGGUGCAAGCGUUAAUCGGAAUUACUGGGCGUAAAGCGUGCGUAGGCGGUUUCUUAAGUCUGCUGUGAAAUCCCCGGGCUCAACCUGGGAAUGGCAGUGGAUACUGGGAGGCUAGAGUGUGUCAGAGGGUGGUGGAAUUCCCGGUGUAGCGGUGAAAUGCGUAGAGAUCGGGAGGAACAUCAGUGGCGAAGGCGGCCACCUGGGACAACACUGACGCUGAGGCACGAAAGCGUGGGGGGCAAACAGGAUUAGGAUACCCUGGUAGUCCACGCCCUAAACGAUGCGAACUGGAUGUUGGUCUCAACUCGGAGAUCAGUGUCGAAGCUAACGCGUUAAGUUCGCCGCCUGGGGAGUACGGUCGCAAGACU